GACGAACGCUGGCGGCGUGCCUAAUACAUGCAAGUAGAACGCUGAAGGAGGAGCUUGCUUCUCCGGAUGAGUUGCGAACGGGUGAGUAACGCGUAGGUAACCUGCCUGGUAGCGGGGGAUAACUAUUGGAAACGAUAGCUAAUACCGCAUAACAGUAGAUGUUGCAUGACAUUUGCUUAAAAGGUGCAAUUGCAUCACUACCAGAUGGACCUGCGUUGUAUUAGCUAGUUGGUGAGGUAACGGCUCACCAAGGCGACGAUACAUAGCCGACCUGAGAGGGUGAUCGGCCAAACUGGGACUGAGACACGGCCCAGACUCCUACGGGAGGCAGCAGUAGGGAAUCUUCGGCAAUGGACGGAAGUCUGACCGAGCAACGCCGCGUGAGUGAAGAAGGUUUUCGGAUCGUAAAGCUCUGUUGUAAGAGAAGAACGAGUGUGAGAGUGGAAAGUUCACACUGUGACGGUAUCUUACCAGAAAGGGACGGCUAACUACGUG
rnacentral:rRNA from 1 species